rnacentral:ncRNA from 1 species
UCGAGCCGGAUGAUGAAAAAUUAUCAUGUCCGGUUCCUCCGGGGGAUGGAUCUAUAAGGAUAGGUAAGGUGUCAUCGUUUAAGAUUGAAGCGUAGCACAACAGUCAUCGAUCCGAC